rnacentral:rRNA from 1 species
GACGAACGCUGGCGGCGUGCCUAAUACAUGCAAGUAGAACGCUGAAGAGAGGAGCUUGCUCUUCUUGGAUGAGUUGCGAACGGGUGAGUAACGCGUAGGUAACCUGCCUGGUAGCGGGGGAUAACUAUUGGAAACGAUAGCUAAUACCGCAUAAUAGUAGAUGUUGCAUGACAUUUGCUUAAAAGGUGCAAUUGCAUCACUACCAGAUGGACCUGCGUUGUAUUAGCUAGUUGGUGAGGUAACGGCUCACCAAGGCAACGAUACAUAGCCGACCUGAGAGGGUGAUCGGCCACACUGGGACUGAGACACGGCCCAGACUCCUACGGGAGGCAGCAGUAGGGAAUCUUCGGCAAUGGACGGAAGUCUGACCGAGCAACGCCGCGUGAGUGAAGAAGGUUUUCGGAUCGUAAAGCUCUGUUGUAAGAGAAGAACGAGUGUGAGAGGGAAAGUUC